AAAUCAGAACCAAAAAUAAAACAAAAAUAAUAAAUUAAUUCUCUUAAGUCCAUUUACAAAUAAGGGCCCAAAUUUAUUAAUAGUCCAAAGUCCUUUAAAUAAAGCCCAGUCCUAACCCAUUACCCCAGGCCCAAAACACUAAUUAAUUUUUUGGCAAAAACCCUAGGUUACUAGAAGCUUCAGCCGCCGCAGUCUCCAACCGAUUCUUCCACGCGCGCCACGCGCCACGCUCCACGCCUACAAAUAACUCCUCCACGCCAUGCACACCUGCAACAGCAAACAACCACAAGCAGCAAUUGACAGUAAAUUACAGCGAAAGACAGCAAUAAAAUUUGUAUUUUUUUUUCGGCUAUAAAACGAAAUGAAAUCAAGUGUAAAGGGAUCUUUUUUUUUUCUAGCAAUAUACAUGCAUAUUGAAUAAAGAAGCAACCAAAAAAUUCAAAGGUGAUUAGAGAGUUUCUUCCUCUAAUUUUCAGAUUUGAUUUCUUUUCUAAAUGUUUUAGUUUUUUCCUUCUCUUUCGGAUGAUCGACCACCGAGAUCUAUAGUGGUGCGACGGCGCUCCAUCAUCUCCCUUAGGCUGCGCCGAAACCCUAGCAAGGGGUAUUCAGUUUGUGGCUUGCAAAAAUGGCAGAUAGCCAUUCAUUUUUCUGUGAUUUUAAUAACCAAACAAAAUGGUGCCGUUUAAAGGGAUAAAGAUCCGUGCGUUGGCCUGAUAAGCAAGUCGGAUCCGCGCCCUUGUGUUUGAAUCGGGAAAGUACGCGCUAGAUCCUUCCUUCCGCGCGAGUACUCAAUUACGCCUAAUUUGUUUUGCCUUGUUUUUUAAUUUGGCUCUUUAAUUCGUGCAUGUUUUCACUUUAGUCCAUGAUACAGUGCUGCGUUUUGGACUCGGUGGAUAUUUUCAAUUCUAGUCCCCAUAUAUUUUCGCGCAUCGCACAUUGGUCCUCAUUUUAUUAUCAGCAGUUUUAUUUUAUUUGUAAAUUAUCCUUUUUAUUUUAAUUUGAUUUCAAUUAGGUUUUUUAGAUUCAUUUUAUGUUUUUUUUUUUAAUUCAUGUUUAUUUAUUUGUAUUAAUUGUAUCAUUUGCAUUAUUUGCUUACUUAUUUAUUGUAAUUUGGGUAAUUGCGUUUUCACAUGCUGUAUAUUAUUUUAUGUAAAUGAUUUUAUACAUUAUUAUACAUAUAUAACAAAAUUAGCUUUAUUC
rnacentral:lncRNA from 1 species